rnacentral:rRNA from 1 species
GACGAACCGAGCGAACGUUAUUCGGAAUCACUGGGCUUAAAGGGCGCGUAGGCGGGCGGCCAAGUCAGGGGUGAAAGCCCCCAGCUCAACUGGGGAAGUGCCUCUGAUACUGGUCGCCUCGAGGGAGGUAGGGGCGUGCGGAACUUCCGGUGGAGCGGUGAAAUGCGUAGAUAUCGGAAGGAACAUCGGUGGCGAAAGCGGCGCGCUGGACCUCUUCUGACGCUGAGGCGCGAAAGCCAGGGGAGCGAACGGG